rnacentral:rRNA from 1 species
AUUGAACGCUGGCGGCAGGCCUAACACAUGCAAGUCGAGCGGAUGAAGGGAGCUUGCUCCUGGAUUCAGCGGCGGACGGGUGAGUAAUGCCUAGGAAUCUGCCUGGUAGUGGGGGAUAACGUCCGGAAACGGGCGCUAAUACCGCAUACGUCCUGAGGGAGAAAGUGGGGGAUCUUCGGACCUCACGCUAUCAGAUGAGCCUAGGUCGGAUUAGCUAGUUGGUUGGGUAAAGGCCUACCAAGGCGACGAUCCGUAACUGGUCUGAGAGGAUGAUCAGUCACACUGGAACUGAGACACGGUCCAGACUCCUACGGGAGGCAGCAGUGGGGAAUAUUGGACAAUGGGCGAAAGCCUGAUCCAGCCAUGCCGCGUGUGUGAAGAAGGUCUUCGGAUUGUAAAGCACUUUAAGUUGGGAGGAAGGGCAGUAAGUUAAUACCUUGCUGUUCUGACGUUACCAACAGAAUAAGCACCGGCUAACUUCGUG